rnacentral:rRNA from 1 species
CCUACGGGAGGCAGCAGUGAGGAAUAUUGGUCAAUGGCCGGAACGCUGAUCCAGCAAAGUCGCGUGAGGGAUGACGGUUCUCUGGAUUUUAAACUUCUUUUGUCAGGGAGCAAAGGGCGCCACGUGUGGCGGUUUGCGACUACCUGAAGAAUAAGCACAGGCUAACUCGGUGCCAGCAGCCGCGGGAGUUGUGGGGAUUCUAGCGUUGUCCGGAUCUAUUGGGGUUAAAGGGGGUGUAGGUGGAAUGUCUAUGCGACGGUAAAAUUUCGGGGCUAAAACCCGUCGUGCCGUUGAAACUGGCGUUCUUGAGUGAGCGAGAGGUAUGCGGAAUGUGUGGUGUAGCGGUGAAAUGCAUAGAUAUCACGAAGAACUCCGGUGGCGAAGGCAGCAUACCGGAGCUCAACUGACGCUGAUGCACGAAAGCGUGGGUAGCGAACAGGAUUAGAUACCCGAGUAGUC